rnacentral:lncRNA from 1 species
CCUGAGCUGCAAUAUUUUACCUUAUGUGUUAAGAUGAUUAUUUAUUGUUUUCCAUUUAGAGAAAAGCCAAAAUGUCAGAAGAGAAUUUUCACAGCAUCAAUAAGAACAAAGGAACUGGAAGCAAAAAUGUUUCAGUCUAUCUCCCCUUUAGUUCCAGAAGCAAUGAUGUCACCAAAGUCCAGACUAGCAGCAUGGCAUUACAUAAAAUACUUAAGGAAAUUGAUCCCAUGGUGAAAGAAGCUGUACCAGCUGUGCAAGCAAAUUACACAGAACAGUAUCUCAGUCCUUAUUUUCCUGAACAGGGAUUGGACUUGGACUGGACCAAUGUGUCCCAACCUCUAAAACAUUUCAUAUCCCAGAGACUUUUUCUCCCUCCUGCCAUCCUCAAACAAAUGUGCUAUAUAGGUUCAACAGCAGGGAAUGGGGCAAUUUCUGGGUGUCAGCUUCCCAAGGUGAUGAAUAGGCCGAAAGUGAAAGAAAAAAAGGCACAGCGAAGAGUAAAGCUGCCUGUUACAACCUCCAUCAAGCAAGUGGGAAAAUGCUUCAGCUCUGAGAGACUGACUCAGGGUGCCGAAGAGAAUGUUCUUGAAAAGAAUUGUUUGCCACUGGGGUUAGGAGAAAGCAUGUCCGAAGAUGCAACCUUACCUAAGAGAGCAAACCUCUAUUCACCGUUCUUCAAGAUGACAUCUCAAAGUGUAGAGAAGCACCAACGCAGAGGGGUCACCAGCUGCACAGAAAAGACACUUACCUAUCUGGAUCGCUGUGCAAAGAGCAGUUCAAGCAGGGAAGAAAGAAAAGUGAAGAACAGGUCACCACUGAAAAGUUCAAGGUCCUGCCGAAAUAGGACAACAAACCAAGGAGCGAAUGUUAGGAUGAUCAAGUCAUGCCAGACACAAGAAUCAUUGCAACUUUCUCUCCCUAUAGUGCCUGGUGCAAAGGACAGGGAAUCCAAUGAAAAGUGUCAUGAGAGUGAACCACAGCCAAAAUCCUUUGGCCAGCACCGAGCAGACCUGGCAACUUGUUCAAAUAUGAAAGGGAACAUGGCCAGGCCUACAUUAUCAAGCAAAAUGAUUUUACUGUCCCAACAUGACAACAGAGAAACAUUCCAUCCAGCAUCUUUGCUAUGUGCCAUGAAGAAGACAUCAACAAAAGGAUUAUUGUGCAAUAGUGAGACCAAGGCAGUGGCUAAGAGAAAAACUCUGGAGCCUGGGUCACAAACUCUACUUACAAGACCUUCCAGUCGCAACUGGGUGAAUUUCCUGUCAGGCUUAGAAAUUGAUGCAAAUGUUGUGAAAAACGGUACUUUACAAGCUAAAAUAUACAGCCAGCCAGGCUCCAUUCAGACAGGACAUCAACUCUGGGAAAUGAGUGGCUUCACAUCAGAUACCCUGAGGGAUUAGGACUCCAGUCCUGGGGAAACCCUUUGGCAGGAGUGCUGUGAAAAUGCAGCAGAAGUGUAUACAGUGCAAAGAAGUUUAGCCUCACACUGUCCUGCAAGACAGAUUCUAGAUUUCCAGAACCUCUGAGUGACAGCUAAAGAAGGCACAGCAUUUAAGUUUCUUUUAGAAUUUUUUCAUUUUUUAAUUGUCAGUGAAUUUCAGACAUAAGAAAAACACCUGAAUCAUCUGACUUCUUCAGAAUUAAAGUGAUGUCUGACCAGAAUGGAAAACUAAAAAGGGGGAGGAUUUGUGUUACUCAAUUCAGACCCUACCAGCCACUUUAAGAAACAGUGCUAAUGGACUCCUAGGGGAAUUCCAUCCAGUUCUGUACAGCUGAUGGUUGCUAGUCACAGAUUAGGACCUUUGGGGGAAUAUAGAGAAUGCAGAUCAGGGACUGCCUAUGCUAGAGAGUCUGGGGAAGUAAAGGAGGAUGUUGUUCCACUGUGAGGCAAAAGCAAAAAGCAGAAGUUUAUUCUAAAAUUAAAAAGCUAAAAGUAAAGUGUCUUUAAAAAUUCCAUCUUGUUGUAUGUCUUGCUAUGGUGCUGGAUCCCAGAUGUGACUAGAACUGCUGNAAAAGCAAAAAGCAGAAGUUUAUUCUAAAAUUAAAAAGCUAAAAGUAAGUAAAGUGCCUUUAAAAAUUCCAUCUUGUUGUAUGUCUUGCUAUGAUGCUGGAUCCCAGAUGUGACUAGAACUGCUGUCUUUGUUGCUGUCCAUCUAAUCCAUUGUACUUAUGCCUAUUUAAUAUUUGUUCCUUCCCCAAGAUGGGCCAGGAUUAAUCCCAAGGACACUAGCUUGGGGUUUGAGAAGAUCAGUAGAGUUGGCUAAAAGUGCUAAGUGCAGAGAUGCUUUUCUCAGUACUCAGACGAUACCUGAGUCCAUUGUAUCCCAGAACCUCGCUGUGCGUUUAGUGUUAGUUGUGACUAGAAUAAAGGUGUGCUGUUCGAAC